rnacentral:lncRNA from 1 species
CCAGUGGCUAGCACACAGGUACUUCCUAAAUAUGUGGUAAGUGGACAAAUGAACUCCGGGCCCCUCAACUUGGCCAGACACAGCAGUGUCCUUCAGAAGGUCACCUCCUGGUGGGUAUGGGAGCAACCUCCUUCUCCCAGUGCCUCCAGGGAGAAGUAAAAGAAAAGACAGACUUCAGAAAAAUUCCACCUUCAAUGUAACAAAAGAGUUCAACAGAGUUGCUCUACAAAUACAAUUUGCAAGCGUCCUGUGACAAACGAAGAUGUUCUAUUUCAUUCCACACAUUCCCUGAGUCCCUGUGCAGAUAAUGCUAUUUGUCACACCCAUGCUGCCAGCUUCCCACGUGACCCCAGCAAAGGCGGGGAAGGAAGACCAGACUGGGGAAAGCAGCCUCCACAGCAAUGGGAUGUCUCCCCUGUGCUCCAGAUACACAUUUCAGAUCAAGAAACAGCAAAGAAGCCAGGCGUGGUGAUGUGCACCCACAGCUCCAGCUGCUCGGCAGGGCUGACAUGGGAGAAUCGUUUAAACUCAAGAGUUGAAGACCAGCCUGGGCCACACAGCAAAAUCCUCAUUGGAAAGAAGGGAGGAACGGGAAGGGGAGGGGAGAAAAGGGGAGGGGAGGGAAGAGGGCAGGACAGGACUGAAAUGAAUCAAAUCAGAUCAAAGCAAAACAGUGCUGCAACUAAUUUCAACUGGGGCAAGACCCAGAUACUGUAUUGGUGAAUUCAGAUCAAGAAUUCUACCCUAUGAGAGCAAUUUGGAGUCUGUCAAGAGACUGUUCUGCUCCAGUAUAGUUUGAGUCUCUGCAGCCUACCAGUUUGGAGUCCAACAUCUUCGUCUCUCUCUGUCCAUGACGCCCUGUACAGUUAUCUGUUCUCUGCAAUUGUAGGUCUGUACCAACACCAGCUACGCAGUGUGCAUUUCUGGACUAAUGCAUUAUAGCCACUCAUUAGCUUUAUUUAAAAAUACAUCUAUUUCCUGAAGACACCUGGGUACAUCCACAGAAAGUGACUAAUUGCCAGAACUGGAUGAAACCAAGCACCCAGGAUCAUCGGAGACGGUUUUGUGUGCAGACAAAGCACAGCUGGUGCCCUCUCAGAAGGUGAAUUGAGACUAAUUGGAUAAUCCAGAAACCAAUUAGACUGAAGUCGGCAGAGGAAGCUCUGUUCAGCUAAAAGAGAUGUUUGUUCUCUCCAACGGAGGAAGUAAGGGCUUUGUGUGCAUAAGUGCAAUGUAAGGAGCUGGAAUCAUACUGUAUAAAUGUUGAGAUUUAUUUUUCUUGCUGUGGUAUUAGAUAUUAGAGUGAAGAUACUGAACCUAGAAUUAGAUGGAGACCAGACUUUUCAGGAACAAGAGUCAUGUGUGUGGGUCAGGCUUCUCAUAGUGAAUACCACAGAAUAAUUUUUAUGUCAGGUGCGAUUCCACAUUCCACUGAAAGUCUUGAUGACUCUGCUGUUAAAAAGGCUCUCACAAGGGAAGAUAUCUCUUGCAUAGUUACCGCACUGGGAAGCCAAAAGCUGUGGCUAUGUCUUCUAAGGAUGUGAUUGUAUUAACGUGCAGCUGCUGCUAACUGCCUCGAUGUAUAUGAUGACUGAUCAAAUUAGGGACACCAGCUGGCACCUGGGGUGGAUGAAAUUAACAGGCCCUCGGGAUGGAGGGGGUGAAUUUGAACUUUGGCCUCAUUUCUAGAGUCCUAUAACCAAUCGGCCUCCACAGCUCUGGGCCAAGAUGUGGUAAGGUUUGCAUUUUAUAGCAUCUAAUGUUCAGUGCAGUAACUAGCAAAGAGACUACUGGUCAACCACAGGGUUCUCGUGUCGUUGUAUUUCCAAGUUGUGUUCCAGUGCCUGUACUGGUUGGUGCUCAGUACAUGGGCAAAUGUUACAUAUGACCAGUAGUGACAUAAAAAGAGUGAC